CGCGGCCUAUCAGCUUGUUGGUGGGGUAGUGGCUUACCAAGGCUUUGACGGGUAGCCGGCCUGAGAGGGUGACCGGCCACAUUGGGACUGAGAUACGGCCCAGACUCCUACGGGAGGCAGCAGUGGGGAAUAUUGCACAAUGGGCGGAAGCCUGAUGCAGCAACGCCGCGUGCGGGAUGACGGCCUUCGGGUUGUAAACCCCUUUCAGCAGGGACGAAAUUGACGGUACCUGUAGAAGAAGCCCCGGCCAACUACGUGCCAGCAGCCGCGGUAACACGUAGGGGGCGAGCGUUGUCCGGAAUUAUUGGGCGUAAAGGGCUCGUAGGCGGUUCGGUAAGUCAGAUGUGAAAGGUUGGGGCUCAACCCUAAGACUGCAUUUGAUACUGCCGUGACUAGAGUCCGGUAGAGGAGUGUGGAAUUCCUGGUGUAGCGGUGAAAUGCGCAGAUAUCAGGAGGAACACCGACGGCGAAGGCAGCACUCUGGGCCGGUACUGACGCUGAGGAGCGAAAGCGUGGGUAGCAAACAGGAUUAGAUACCCUGGUAGUCCACGCCGUAAACGUUGGGCACUAGGUGUGGGACCUUAUCAACGGGUUCCGUGCCGUAGCUAACGCAUUAAGUGCCCCGCCUGGGGAGUACGG
rnacentral:rRNA from 1 species